AGUCUAGGUCUAAAAAGUUAUAAUUUUUAUUAACUAUUUGUUUUGGUGUCCAUUUGUCAUAUUCAUUAUAUUUUUUAAACUUACUCUUAUAAUAUAUAGGUUUUCUUAUUUCUGCUGUUUUAGGUAUUAUAUUUUCACUUCUUUUUUAUCAAGAGUAUUUAUUUCUGUGUUGGUAAUUUCUAAGUUUUCCUCAUUAAUUACUUCUUGUUUUUCAUUGAUUUCUAAAUUUUUUGUAUUUGUU
rnacentral:lncRNA from 1 species